rnacentral:rRNA from 1 species
UACGUAGGGCGCAAGCGUUGUCCGGAAUUAUUGGGCGUAAAGAGCUCGUAGGCGGUCUGUCGCGUCGGAUGUGAAAACCCAGGGCUCAACCCUGGGCCUGCAUUCGAUACGGGCAGACUAGAGUUCGGUAGGGGAGACUGGAAUUCCUGGUGUAGCGGUGAAAUGCGCAGAUAUCAGGAGGAACACCGGUGGCGAAGGCGGGUCUCUGGGCCGAAACUGACGCUGAGGAGCGAAAGCGUAGGGAGCAAACAGG